GAACUUGGACAAUGGGGGCAACCCCGAUCUAGCCAGUCGGCGUGAGUGAUGAAGACCUUAGCGUGGUAAAGAUCUUUCAGCUGUGAGGAUAAAGACGGUAGCAGCAGAAGAAGUCCGGUCUAACUCCGUGCCAGCAGCCGCGGUAAUACGGAGGGGACUAGCGUUGUUCGGAAGUACUGGGCGUAAAGCGCACGUAGGCGGAUCGGAAGGUUGGGGUUGAAAUCCCGGGGCUCAACCUCGGAACUGCCUUCAAAACUAUCGGUCUGGAGUACGGGAGAGGUGAGUGGAAUUCCGAGUGUAGAGGUGAAUGUCGUGGAUAUUCGGAGGAACACAAGUGGCGAAGGCGGCUCACUGGCUCGAUACUGACGCUAAGGUGCGAAAGCGUGGGGAGCAAACA
rnacentral:rRNA from 1 species